AGUACCUCCUCAUUUUACAGCUGCAGAAUCUGCGAGUCCAAGAGGUUUAGUACUAAGAGAAGAAGCUUGAGCUAGAAGGUGUCGUUGGAACCAUCUCAGAGGGCCAAACACAUCUCUCUACCUACUAAAAGGGUAUUCCAAGAUGGGGCCAGGAAUUCAGGGUUUUCAAGGUUAACCUGGCAGUCUGAAAGGAUGAG